GCCUGCCCAGUGACAAAGUUCAACGGCCGCGGUACCCUAACCGUGCGAAGGUAGCAUAAUCACUUGUUCUUUAAAUAGGGACUCGUAUCAACGGCAUCACGAGGGCUAUACUGUCUCCUUUCUCCAAUCAGUGAAACUGAUCUUCCCGUGAAGAAGCGGGAAUUAUCAUAUAAGACGAGAAGACCCCAUGGAGCUUUAAACUCAAUAUAUAUUUCUACGCAUUUAUAUCACUAUAGCCCAAGAAAAUUAUAUGUUGGUUUUGGGUUGGGGGGACCGCGGAGAAAAAAUUAACCUCCACGACAAAUAGGCCAACGCCUUUAUCUACGAACCACAAUUCUAAGAAUCAAUAAACUGAUGUUUAAUGAUCCAAUUUUUUUGAUCAACGAACCAAGUUACCCUGGGGAUAACAGCGCAAUCUACUUCAAGAGCUCCUAUCGACAAGUGGGUUUACGACCUCGAUGUUGGAUCAGGGUAUCCUAGUGGUGCAGCCGCUACUAAAGGUUCGUUUGUUCAACGAUUAAAACCCUACGUGAUCUGAGUUCA
rnacentral:rRNA from 1 species